rnacentral:rRNA from 1 species
UGGGCUACCACACACGCUACAAUGGCCAACACAAUAGGUUGCUAAGCCGCGAGGUGGAGCCAAUCCUCAAAGUUGGUCUACAGUUCAGAUUGCAGGCUGCAACCCGCCUGCAUGAAGGUGGAGUUGCUAGUAACCGCAGGUCAGCUAUACUGCGGUGAAUACGUUCCCGGGGCCUU